GAAGAAAGGUUUGGAGUGAAAGGAAAUCCCUAAUUUCAUUCACCAAAGAAUUUCCAACAGAUCUCAUAGACAGCCUGGUGGAUCAACAAUUCCCUCCAGUUACAGGAAUACAAAUAAGGAAUAUGAUUUAGUAUUGGAAAAUCAGUUCACAAUAAAAGUGGCUAAGGACAAGUCAAAUGAGGAAAAUGAUCUUAUGUCGGUCAAAGGAUGCCAACCUUUCAUCUGUUCUGCCUCCCAGAGUCACUGUGAGAUAACGCAUGUAAAAUGGCUUUGUCAACCUGAAAGUCCCAGAAGACUGUCAGAGUAUUUUGUAUUAUAUUUAGAAAUGGAUCAAAUCAUCAGAACACUGAAAGGUGAGGAACCAGAGAUAAGUGCGGCCCGUGUUAGAGAGAAAUCCUGAAACCCGUAACAAAGCAGAGCCUACCAUCAUCUCUAUAAGCUGAGGGCCUUUCCCCUUCAUCAGGCCGUAGAGUUCUCCACUACUGCUUCCUCCACUGGACCCACUAUUCUAUUAGAAUAUUUCCAAAAUGGAAAACAACAAUCAGAAAGAAGUUCAGACACAUUCUGAGGCUUAUAAUGAGACAACUGAAUAAUAGCACACUGUACUGUUACUCGGCUGAACCAGAUUAAGAAGCUUGCUCCAUAGAGACUGACCACAUUUUCUGCUAACUCUUAAGUGUGGCAAAGGACCUUGUCCCCCAGAGCUGAACCACUUGGGUACUGAGUGCUGGGCUGAAGGCAUUUUAUGGGGUUUUUCGUAUCACUUACUACAGAGGAAGAGGCUGGGUGGUUAGCAAAGGAAAGGAGCUCCAGAACAUAUCCCCUUACCAGCUUCCACUAAGAAAUUCGAUCGAUAAAUUU